rfam:Triticum aestivum genome assembly, contig: Triticum_aestivum_CS42_TGACv1_scaffold_513161_6BS
AAAGUACUCCCUCCAUCCCAAAAUUCUUGUCUUAGAUUUGUCUAGAUACGGAUGUAUCAAGUCACAUUUUANAAUUCUUGUCUUAGAUUUGUCUAGAUACGGAUGUAUCAAGUCACAUUUUAGUAUUAGAUACAUCCGUAUCUAGACAAAUCUAAGACAAGAAAUUUGGGACAGAGGGAGUAGUUG